CUCUGUCAUUGAAUGUCUUAUUAGGGGAUUUUCUUAAAUUAUUAAUUAUAAUUAAUGUCAGGUCAAGGUGCAGUUGUAAUAAAGGUUGAAAUGGGUUACAUUUAAUUUUAUUAAUUGGAGUAUUAUAUUUGGAUUAGUAUUUAAAUAAUAUGAAAAGGGAUUUGAAAGUAAUUUUUAUUAUUUUAUAAUAAUGAUUAUUAGCUCUAAAUUAUGCACACAUCGCCCGUCACUCCCAUAAUUAAAGUGGGAUAAGUCGUAACAAAGUAAUUUUACUGGAAAGUGAAGUUAGAAUUAAU
rnacentral:rRNA from 1 species